rnacentral:rRNA from 1 species
AUUGAACGCUGGCGGCAUGCCUUACACAUGCAAGUCGAACGGCAGCACGGGUGCUUGCACCUGGUGGCGAGUGGCGAACGGGUGAGUAAUACAUCGGAACAUGUCCUGUAGUGGGGGAUAGCCCGGCGAAAGCCGGAUUAAUACCGCAUACGAUCUACGGAUGAAAGCGGGGGUCCUUCGGGCCUCGCGCUAUAGGGUUGGCCGAUGGCUGAUUAGCUAGUUGGUGGGGUAAAGGCCUACCAAGGCGACGAUCAGUAGCUGGUCUGAGAGGACGACCAGCCACACUGGGACUGAGACACGGCCCAGACUCCUACGGGAGGCAGCAGUGGGGAAUUUUGGACAAUGGGCGAAAGCCUGAUCCAGCAAUGCCGCGUGUGUGAAGAAGGCCUUCGGGUUGUAAUGCACUUUUGUCCGGAAAGAAAUCCUUGGCCCUAAUACGGUCGGGGGAUGACGGUACCGGAAGAAUAAGCACCGGCUAACUACGUG